rnacentral:rRNA from 1 species
GUCUAUGCCCAUGCCACCCUGAACAAGCCUGAUCUCAUCUGAUUUCGGAAGCUAAGCAGGGCUGGGCUUGGUUAGUACUUGGAUGGGAGACCACCUAGGAAAACCUGAUGCUGUAGGCA